rnacentral:rRNA from 1 species
GAUGAACGCUGGCGGCGUGCCUAAUACAUGCAAGUCGAGCGAACAGACGAGGAGCUUGCUCCUCUGACGUUAGCGGCGGACGGGUGAGUAACACGUGGAUAACCUACCUAUAAGACUGGGAUAACUUCGGGAAACCGGAGCUAAUACCGGAUAAUAUAUUGAACCGCAUGGUUCAAUAGUGAAAGACGGUUUUGCUGUCACUUAUAGAUGGAUCCGCGCCGCAUUAGCUAGUUGGUAAGGUAACGGCUUACCAAGGCAACGAUGCGUAGCCGACCUGAGAGGGGGAUCGGCCACACUGGAACUGAGACACGGUCCAGACUCCUACGGGAGGCAGCAGUAGGGAAUCUUCCGCAAAGGGCGAAAGCCUGACGGAGCAACGCCGCGUGAGUGAUGAAGGUCUUCGGAUCGUAAAACUCUGUUAUGAGGGAAGAACAAAUGUGUAAGUAACUAUGCACGUCUUGACGGUACCUAAUCAGAAAGCCACGGCUAACUACGUG